GGUUGAUGUAGCUAUAAAUCAAGUCGGGCAAUAGCUUUUUCUAAGAGACGAGUUACCUAAGAAUGAAACUAACAAGAGUCCAUGUAGUCGGUCAUAUGUAUCUGUAGAUCGAGGAUACAAUGAAGAAAAAUCAUGCUAAUAUGCUAUGGUACUGAGCCAUCCCAAUUAUCAAGAUCAUCACUGAGAUUUGGGAUGAUUACAUCAAUCCCAUACUCAAACUUGUUACGGUAAUAAAUCCAAAUGACACCAUGUUUAAAUGAUUCAAUUUUUAAUACUUAUCAUCCAAUUCGGUUUGAGGUUUUGUCUACCAAUAUAAUAAU
rnacentral:lncRNA from 1 species